GAUGAACGCUGGCGGCGUGCCUAACACAUGCAAGUCGAGCGGCAGCGAGGUGUGCUUUCACCCUUUCGGCGAGCGGCUGACGGCUGAGUAGCGCGUGGGAACGUGCCCCAAAGUGAGGAAUAACUGCCCUAAAGGGUAUCUAAUACCGCCUAUUAUCUUCGUAUCAAAGGAUUUAUCCGCUUUGGGAGCGGCUCGCGUCGGAUUAGGUAGUUGGUGAGUUAAUUGCUCACCAAGCCGACGAUCCGUAGCUGGGCUGAGAGGCUGACCAGCCAGACUGGAAGUGAGCCACGGUCCAGACUACUACGGGAGGCAGCAGUGAGGAAUCUUCCAAAAUGGGCGAAAGCCUGAUGGAGCAACGCCGCGUGAAGGACGAAGGCGUUAGGGUUGUAAACUGCUUUUAUACGUGAGGAAUAUGACGGUAACUAAUGAAUAAGGAUCGGCUAACUACGUG
rnacentral:rRNA from 1 species